GUAAAUGACUCUUCCAUUAGAGUGGAGGGUAAUAGUAUUUAUGAUGUUUCAUGCUCUUCCAAGAGAUUUCACUGCAAACCCUUUGUCCCUUCCCUCGUAGCAUGUAUCAAUAUUGAGACGGUUUCUCAGUUGAUACUCCAUCUUUAGUAAUUGGAAAUCAAUUGCCCUCUUGUGCGAUCAGCCUCAAUUCACGUAAGGUAGGUACCUAUAUUUCUUGGAAACAUGAAAGGGAGUCGCAACUCCCUUUUGAUGGCCAUUUUCUUCCUCCUUAUAAAUGUUAGUUUGAAGCUAGCUAGUUAUAGGUCAAUAUUUCUUGCUGGAAUGGCAUCAACACCAGGCCUUUGUUCAUUUUGUAUACAUUUAUAGGUUCUAUUGGUUCAAAUUAAUGGUGUGUAGCUAGGUUUUAUAUGGCUUGUGCUUCACAUUCAAUGCUCAUUAGGUUAUAGUAUUUCGUCACUCUAUAUCUUCACCUCUUCCUGCAUCGAUAUUAGGUAAUGAACACGGAUACAAAAUUUUAUGAUUAAGUUAUGGAGGUUUGCUUUAUAUACAACUGCAAAAUUAUGAUUCGUUGAGAAUAUAAUGGGAUAUUGAUUCUGUGAUUAAUCAAAGAGUAAUUUAUACAGCUACUUCAAUAUUAAUUGCUUGCCGUGCAUGUUUUCACCGAUUCAUCUUUCUCCUUGAGAGUUAAGUAAUUCCUUAUAUACGGAUUAACUAUUAUUAUUAUCUUCUAUUGGAAAGCUGUUGUUUUCAUUUUGGCAUUAGGGAUUACAAUUAAUUGUUCCCAACCCAAUCCGAUUCCCCCACAAAUUCGAUUAAUUUUUCCUUGACUUUACCUGAAUUUCAAUAAUUGUGUGGGGUGGGAAUACGGAGAUCUCCAUAAA
rnacentral:misc_RNA from 1 species